GAGAUGGAGUCUCCCUCUGUCACCAGGCUGGAGUGCAGUGGCGUGAUCUCGGCUCACUGCAACCUCCACCUCCCUGGUUCAAGCGAUUCUCCAGCCUCAGCCUCCUGAGUAGCUGGGACUGCAGGCGUGCACUACCACGCCCAGCUAAUUUUUGCAGUUUUUCAGUAGAGACGGGGUUUCACCAUGUUGGCCAGGAUGGUCUCGAACUCUCAACCUCAUAAUCCGCCUGCCUUGGUCUCCCAAAGUGCUGGGAUUACAGGCGUGAGCCACCGCACCUGGCCCAGAUUUUUAUAUAACUGAUUGGCACUCAAUAUUACUUGCUGACAGUUUCUUCUCCCUUCCUAAUAUGAGCAUUGUAUAUAACUGGAAUUAAUAUUCAUUCUCAAAGCAUAUAUGCUACAAAUGGCAAGAAAUUACAAACUUGUAAAUAGCCACCUAUCUCAAGAAGCUGUUAACUUGUGGCAAGUAGAAAAAUUAGCCCUGCUUCAUUUGGGUUUAAUUCAUUUAGUCAGCACAUGUUCAUCAAGCACCUACUAUGUGUAGGCAAGCAUUGUGAGAGACACUGGCAAUACAGCAAUAAAUAAGACAUGAAAAGUCUCUGUCUUCUAGAGAUUACAGACUAGUAGGAGAGACAGGUAAUAAAGAAGUUUUACAUUUGCAUAUAUUGUUUGCACUUCUCUAAAGAGAAUGGUUACCCAUAGUUAUGAACAUCCAAAUUUCUCUUUUCUUUUUUUGAGAUGGAGUCUUGCUCUGUCACACAGGCUGGAGUGCAGUGGCGCGAUCUCAGCUCACUGCAAGCUCUGCCUCCCGGGCUCACACCAUUCUCUUGCCUCAGCAUCCCGAGUAGCUAGGAUUACAGGCACCCGCCACCAUGCCCGGCUAAUUUUUUGUAUUUUUAGUAGAGACGGGGUUUCACCGUGUUAGCCAGGAUGGUCUCGAUCUCCUGACCUCGUGAUCCAUCUGCCUUGGCCUCCCAAAGUGCUGAGGUGGGUGCAUUGCUUGAGCCCAGAAGUUUGAGACCAGCCUGGGCAACAUGGUGAAAUCCCAUCUCUACAAAAAAUACAAAAAUUAGCUGGGCAUGGUGGUGUAGGCCCAUAGUCCCAGCUACUUGGGAGGCUGAGGUGGAAGGAUCACCUGAGUCCAGGGUGGUUGAGGCUGCAGUGAGCUGUGUGUGACUGCGUCACUGCGCUCCAGCCUGGGUGACAGAGCAAGACCCUGUCUUAAGAAAAAAGAAAAAAGAAAUAUUCUUUAUACUAGUGAAAACCUUAUUAUACUCAAAUGAGAUAAAUGAGGCUACUAAGUGCUGACUAGAAAAAAAUAUAGGACAAGUAAAGAUUUACCAGAAGGUGUGGCAUCCAAAACUUCAGCAUCUUCACUUUUCUCGUUCCCUUCUGAUUUUUCAGAUUGCACAUCCAAAGAUAACAUCAAACUUGGGUUUGGUGCAAAGAUGGCUGAUGUAACAACUGCAUUGUGGGCUGUGGAAAAAAUUUACUUCAGGAUAACUGACAAAUUGGAUACCAAGACAAACACGAUAGUGUAUGUUUUUAUUGUCACUUCAGUUAUUUUCACAUUGAUAACACUGGUGAAUUUUAACUCACAUAGAUCUCUAAUUGUCAUUUAAAAUGUCUUCAAAAAGAUUACCCUAUAAUGCAGCAUGGAAAUGAAAAGUUAUUGUGCACCUGUCACACUCUAGGCAAGAAAAUUAGAGAAUAGAAAUUGUCAAAUCUUUCAGAAUAGAUCACAGAAUGUUCAAGGCUAGAAGAUGGUAGUGUAACUGACUUAGGCACCGUGAUGGCCCCAUCGCCCAGGAAACAAACAUCUAUCUGUCAAAAGCUUUCAGCUGGCAGAAGCUCAUUAAUUCCUCAACAUAAUCUAUUUAAGGAGGAGAACUAUGAGUUAUACUGAAUGAGAAAACUCAAAUGAUACCUCUGUAUUCUUUGGUGUGCCUAAAGGUGCUAAACAAAUCAAGGCAAUGGUGACAUUGAUCGCAUACUUACGAUGUGUUAAGCAUUGUUCUUCGCAUUAUAUAGCAACACUAUGAAGUAGGUACAUUGUGGUAUACCUGUUUUCAAAUAGAUGGUAUACUUUAUGAUUAAAAGUAAAGAAUUAAAAAACAGAAUUUGGAAAUUUACAAUAAUCUUUGAAAUAUCUAACAAUCAUUUUUAUUUUCAAGAUCCACUCAGUUCCAGAAAAGUUUUUAAGAGUAUAUGCAGUUUGCAUUAUAAUUUCCUGUUGAUUAAUACCAACUGUAUAAAAACUUAACCUAUGGCACACCAUGAACCUAUGUUCAUUAAAACUGACUUUAUUUGGCUGGACACAGUGGCCCAUGCCUGUAAUCCCAGCACUUUGGGAGGCUGAGGCAGGUGGAUCAUUUGAGGUCAGGAGUUCGAGAUCAGUCUGGCCACCAUGGUGAAACCCCAUCUCCACUAAAAAUAAAAAAAAAAAUUAGCUGGGCGUGGUGGCCCACGCCUGUAAUUCCAGCUACUCGGGGAGGCUGAGGCAGGAGAAUCGCUUGAACCUGGGAGAUGGAGGUUGCAGUGAGCUGAGAUCGUGCCACUGCACUCCAGCCUUGGCAACAG
rnacentral:lncRNA from 1 species